GCGGGGCGGGGCUACGGGAGGCGGGGCUGGGGGAGGGUUUCGGGCGGGCGGCCUGUGGGAAGGAGUUGGGGGAGGAGCUGUGAGGCAGGUUUCGGGGAGUAGCUGGGGCGUCCCUGCAAGAGGUGUGGGCUCCGGCUGUGAGAAAGAGCUGGGGGGGAGCUAGAACUGAGCUGGGGGGUGAUUUGGCGGACGAGGAGCCGUGCGAAGAGCAGGGUGGGCCUGAGGAGGGGUAGCCAGCGGAGGUGCAGGGGGGAUCUGGGGAGCGCUGGGGAAGCGGAGCGUGGGGAGGCGGCACAGGAGAAGCUGGGGGACCACCGGGGAUGGAGACCUGGGGAGUAGCGGGGCGGAGCUGAGUGGAGGAGCUGGAGAGGGGCGGGUGGAGCUGAGGAAAGUGGGAAGGCUGAGCUGGGGUGCAGCGGGAUUACGUUGGGGAGGUGGAAUUGGACCUGGAGCCUUGGGAGGAGUUGGGGGGCCACUGUGGGUGAGGACCUGCGGAGUUGUAGGGCAGGGAGGGGGACCCCGGAAAGGCGAAAGGGGGGAGGAGUGGGGCGUGGCUGGUGGACCGCGCGGAGGAAGAGCUGCGGUCGGGCGGGGCGGAGCUGGGAAGGGGCAGGGAGGGACUGGCGGACAGGUUUGUGAAGGAGCGGCCAAAGGGGUGUGGGGAUGGGCGAAUCCUGCGAGGAGGAGCUGUGGAAGGGUCAGGCGGGGUUCCGGCGGAGCAGAGCGAUGUCGGAGAAAGCUGGGAGGGGGAGUUGGGGACGAGCGGGGCAGGGCUGGUGGGUAGCUUCGAGGAGCAGGGUGGGGCUGGGGAGGGGUAGCGCCAGUUGCGGGAUCGCUGGGAGGAGGAGCUGGGGCAGGGCUAGGGUGGAGUGUGGCGGGCCUGGGGACCCCUGACCGCAGGUACUGGGGGAGGAGCUAGGCGAGCUGGGGAGGAGCUGGGUGGACUGGUGGUAUAGCUGGGAGGAGAAGCUGCAGGGGAGCGAGGGGGGGUUGAGGAGAUGCUGGGUGGACAGGUGGUAGGCGGAGCUGGGGUGGGGCUGGGCGGGACUGGUGGGGCGUUUGGGAGGCGUGGCCGGGGCAGAGUAGGUCAGGACUGGUGCGGUGGUUGGGAGGCGUAGCCGGGGCGGUGCUGGGGCAGGACUGGUGGAGCUGUUGGGAGGCGUGGCCGGGACGGAGCUGGGCGGGACUGGUGGGGUCGUUGGGGGCCGAGCGGGGUCUGAGCAGAUCGGGACUGGUGGGCUGGUUAGGAGGUGGGGCCGGGGCGGGACGGAGCGGGGCGAGACUGGUGGAGCGGUUCAGAGGCGUGGCUGGGGCGGAGCAGAUCAGGACUGGUUGGGUGGCUGGGAGGCGUGGCCGGGGUGGAGCGGGUCAGGACUGGUGGGUGUGACUGGUGGGCGUGGCCAGGGCGGAGGCGGGGGGGGGCUGAUGGGGUGGUUGGGAAGAGAAGGGGGCGGUGCUGGGUCAGGACUGGAGGAGCGGUUGGGAGGCGGAGCCGGGGCGGAGCUGGGCGGGACUGGUUUGGUGGUUGGUGGGCGUAGCCGUGGCGUGCUGGGGAAGGACUGGCGGAGCGGUUGGGAGGCGGAGCCGGGGUGGUGCUACCCGGGGUGGUGCUAGCCGGGGCGGAGCCGGCAGAAGUGGGGAGGGGAACCCAGGGAAGGGCUCGGGGGCGGGGCAAGGGCGUCUCAGUGGCAGCAGCCGGGCAGUUCCCUUCUGCCUCAGGGGACUUAGGCGUCUGGGUGGCACCGCAUGGGUAGGCAACAAAGUGGCAGCCCCAGGUUCCUCAGCGACCUCAGGUGACCCUCAGAAUGGACCCCGAAGAACACGGAGGCGGGAGAGGACGGCGCCUGUAGGUUGAGUCCUGCACCUGGACUCUGAAGGCCCUGGGCGGGCUCUCCUUCCAAGCCACCCUGGGGUGGUCAGCGGGGUCCUGAGGGACGGUCUUUAGAUGAACGUUUUUUGCAGCCCAUAUGCUGAGUCCUGGGAUUUCUGGAACUUCUGAUCUCCUAUGGCCGAGGAGGGAAGGACAGUGAAGACUUCAGAAAUUCAGAGCUAUGCUAUGUGUUUUGUUUUGCCUAGUUUUGGAUUUGGAAAGAAACAUUUCAACAGAGUACCCCGGCUCCCCCGUGGAAACUGAGACAAUUAUCUUCCCAAAGCCCUGAACUCCCCUUCCUACUUCCGAAGGAGCCCCUCUGUUCACAGCUGUUAAAGCUAGCCGGAAGUCCGGUUCCUUCCCCAGGCAGUUCUUUUUGGAUGUUGGAUGCACACCUUUCUAAGCAUUGUGGUCUCCAAAUCAUCUAUCCAUGAUGGAUGACAUGACCAUGAAUCUUUGCUUAAAUAUGGACUCCUGAAAUAUCAUAAAAUCCCAGAGCAUCGGAGCUGGACAGAGGCCAUCUGGAUAUUUUGUCUGAGGCUCAGAGAAGACAAGGACCUUAUUUAAGGUCACACAGUGAGUUAGCUGCAGAAUUAGGACUCAGAUUCCAUUCUGUAUUCCUCAGGUCAUUGAAUCAAAGGCUGAAUUCCAUUCCUUUACAUGGCACUGGAUGCCCCACACGAUGGAGGACCUUUCUGGCAGAGCACAAUGUCCCACAGGAUUACACUGAACCAGAGGGUCCAGAUGAUAGGUGGCACAGUGGGUUGCCCUGCCACUGAGGAGUCAAUUCUAAACCACAACGGGCAUUUUUAUGGCAUGCAGCUGUACCCUAAGGAAGGAGGUGCAAGGUGAUCAACUGACAUUCAGGAGAUGGAGAAAACAGUCUCGUGAUAGUUCCUUAUCAGGCGGCUUAUUUCCCUUGCUCCAGGAAGAGUUGGUGUUCUCUGAAGGCACAGCUUUUUCUGAAGCCCUCCACGGAGUCACGUAGGAGAUUCAGGGACUUCCAGAGUGGUGAAUGAAUGAUCAGCAUUGCAUAGAGUAAGUAAAGAGAAGGAAAGAACAACAUUUCUGAGGCCGACAGAUCUGAAGUGAGAAGGGAAAGAGAAGGACUAUUAAAGUCCCUUGUCCAGAGCUGGGUAACAGAUGUCAUGAUCGUCGUCUGACUAAGAUCAAUAACCAGAGUCAUGCAGGUGCUGGGCAUCCUGUCAGAUAAACCCACGUGGCCCCAAAGCCUGGUGCUGGAGAGGCAACGGAAAAGACAGAAAAUGUGAUAUAUUCGUUGAUGCCAAGUGAAGUUGAAAUGUCAGGGAUCCACACGUGCUAAGUAAUCCUUCUUGACAAACACUGAUUCAGCAAUUGACCAAUACAGGGGGCAUUGGCUGAGCUUCUGUUCUGGGGAUGCAGAAAGGAAUCAGCCAUGGUCCUUUCUUACUAGUAGCUCAUGGUUACAUGGGGGCAGACACAGAACCAGUACCUGUGGUUCAGUCAGGAAACACACUCUAGUAGAGGGUUGUGUGUACUCCCCGCUUCUGCUAGAAGAGGUUGUGAAAAGCUUUUGCAGGGGAGAUGAUGUUUGAAGGAUGGCUGGGAAUGGCCAGGCAGAAAGGAUGUGAGAAUUUGCCAAGCAGAGGGGACAGCUUGUAUGAUGAUAUGGAAGGGUGAAAGGGAAGAGCAAGGAGUUCGGGAUGGCCAUGGUAGUCAAGUAGAUGGCAGCGAAUGGCAGAGAACAGGCAGAAGUAGACGGGGUUGGAAUAGGUUAUGGCUCUGGAUUUCAUCCUAUAGGUGACGGGGAAUCACUGAUAUUUCAAAGCAGAGGGUGACAUGGCAGACUUGGCAUAAUAGGUCACGUCGGGGACUGUGUGGACAGUGGUGCCGAAAAGGAGGCCGUGAAGCUAGGAGGCCCGUAAGGAGGCUGUGUAAACAGGCCUGGGAAAAGCUGGUAUGGGUCAUGGGCCCCAGCAUAGAAUGAGGAGAAUGGAUUUGAAAGGUUCUCCCAGGACCAGGUUCUAUGCUGGGCUCUGGGGGAUAUAAGAUGAACCAAACAUUGCCCCUUCCCUCAAGACCUGAGCAUGUGGAAGGAAGCCUAAGACACAUACAUGAGGCAAGGGAAAGUGACCUCUUUCACUUUAUAUGAUAUACUAGUUUCCUAUAGCUGCUGAAACUAGCCACUGCAAACAGUGGCUUAAAACAACAAAAAUUUAUUAUCUUACAGUUCUGGAGGUUAAAAGGCAGAAAUGGGGCAGGAUUGUGUUCCUGAAAUGGUGGCUUUAGGGGAGAUUCUAUUUCUUUGCCUUUUCUAGCUCCUAGAGGAUCCCACAUUCCUUGGCUAAAUGCCCCACAUCACUCCACUUCUGCUUCUUUCAUCACAUCUCCUCUGAUGCCGACCCUCCUGCCUCCCUUUCAUAAGGGCCCAUGAUUACAUUUAAGUCCAAUCCAGAAAAUCAGGAUGAUUUCUCUAUCUCAAGAUCCUCAAGUCAAUCACAUUUGCAAAGUCCCUUUUGCCAUGGCAGGUAAUAAUAUCUUUCUAGGUUCUGAGGAUUAGAACAUGGACAGCAUUGGGGAGCCAUUGUUCAACCAGACACAACAAGAAGGGUUCUUAACAUUUUCAUGAAUAAAUAAUGAUGAUAAGACCAUUUUUUCUUGAGUGCUUACUAUCAGCCGUGUAUUUUCACAUUUAACUCCUGCAGGGACUCUAAGAGGGUAUGUUCCAUACCUCUCCUUUUAGUUGCCAAGAACAACCCAGCUAGGAAGUGGGGGACAGACAGGAAGCUUCCAUUCUCAGUGUUAUACCUUCUCCCUUUAUGUCUAUUCCUAAACAGCUGACCACUUUGGUUACAAAGUUCUAUGUUACGUUUCAUCUUCUGCAUUUCUUUUUUGAAAAUAGCUUUAGUGUUUUUUGCAGAAAAAAAUGACACAUACCCAUUUUAAAACUGCAAACAAUACUGAAAGUACAAAGAAAAAUUAAAAUCAUACCCAAAUCUCAUUUUCCAAGGAUAACUAUUGUUAACAUUUCGUGAACAUUCUCCAGACUGCUGUCUAUGCAUCAUAAAUAUGCCUUUCUAUAAAGCACUUUAUCUCCACUCUACAGCAUGAAUAUCUUUCUGUGUCAGUACUUGUCAACUCCUCAAAGCAAGCUUGCUGAGUCAAAGGUUGUACAUAUUGUACAUGUUAAUACACAUUGCCAAACAGCUCUCAAAACAUAUUAAUUUUUACCAAAAGUGCAAGACCUUCACCAGUUUAGUCGGUCUUUUAAAUCUUUGCCAUUUGAUUGGUGAAAAAGAACAUCUUUUCUUGGCAUUGCUUUCAUUAUUAUUGAUAGCAUCUUUCCACAUCUUUAUUGGCCAUCUAUAUUUAUUCUCUUGGGGAAUGGUUUAUUCAGGGCCUUUGCCUAUUUUUCUGUUAGGAUGUUUGCUCUUUUCA